rnacentral:rRNA from 1 species
AACGAACGCUGGCGGCAUGCCUAACACAUGCAAGUCGAACGAUACCUUCGGGUCUAGUGGCGCACGGGUGCGUAACGCGUGGGAACCUGCCCUUAGGUUCGGAAUAACUCCCCGAAAGGGGUGCUAAUACCGGAUAAUUUCUUCGGACCAAUGAUUUAUCGCCUUUGGAUGUGCCCGCGUUGGAUUAGCUAGUUGGUAGGGUAAAAGCCUACCAAGGCGACGAUCCAUAGCUGGUCUGAGAGGAUGAUCAGCCACACUGGGACUGAGACACGGCCCAGACUCCUACGGGAGGCAGCAGUGGGGAAUAUUGGACAAUGGGCGAAAGCCUGAUCCAGCAAUGCCGCGUGAGUGAUGAAGGCCUUAGGGUUGUAAAGCUCUUUUACCCGGGAUGAUAAUGACAGUACCGGGAGAAUAAGCUCCGGCUAACUCCGU